rnacentral:lncRNA from 1 species
AUUAUUCAUGUUUAUAUGCUUCUUGCUAUUUUCCAUUACACAGAACUUGUUAUACAAUGAAAAGUCAAAACUAAAUGGAGUAACCAUGAAUGUGUUGGAGAACUUCUCGAGUAAAAUUCCGGUCUGUUCCAGAAUGUGGUUGUCUUAUUUGUCUUGUGUCCCUCUACGAGUUUCCUUCACUGCAGUUGAGACUACUGUGUAUGUUUUGGAUCCCAAGACUAGCAGUGACUGGCAUCUUCACCAUCCCUGAGUGAAGAGUGCAGGCAAGCAUGUGGAGCUUAUUUCCACAGUGUGCAACUGAAGAAGGGCUUGUGGAAACAAUUGCAGUGAGUGAUCAAGGCUUAAUUCUCAGGGAGGGGGGUAGGGGGGCGCAUGGAGAAGACGGUACUGCUUGCAACUUGACUGAGGAAUAUGGUUUCUCUUUUGGUCCUUUCUAAGGCCUUAAAUUUUACUAUUUGAUAAAUAUAACAUACUAUCAUAUAUCAUAACAAGCAAGUUCUGUAAAAGGUUGACAUCUUUAAAUGGGGAUAGUAGCAAUGAUGACACUGAAUCAAAAUAAUGGCGUGGAUUAAUUUUAAUGGUGGUCUAUUGUAAAAUUUAAAAAAUAACAAAACUUUGAGGCCAAGAAAGCAUACCC